rnacentral:rRNA from 1 species
UGCUUGGGAAUUUGCCUUUAGGUGGGGACGAACAGUUGGAACGACUGCUAAUACCGCAUAUUGUCUACGGACUAAAGAGGGCUUCGGCUCUCGCCUUUAGUAGAAGCCCAAGUGGGAGUUAGGUAGUUGGUGAGGUAAAGGCUCACCAAGCCGACGAUCCCUAGCUGGUCUGAGAGGAUGAUCAGCCACACUGGAACUGAGACACGGUCCAGACUCCUACGGGAGGCAGCAGUGGGGAAUAUUGCACAAUGGGGGAAACCCCUGACGCAGCAACGCCGCGUGGGUGAAGAAGCAUCUUGG